AGUGAACGCUGGCGGUAUGCCUAACACAUGCAAGUCGAACGGCAGCACAGUAAGAGCUUGCUCUUACGGGUGGCGAGUGGCGGACGGGUGAGGAAUACAUCGGAAUCUACUUUUUCGUGGGUGAUAACGUAGGGAAACUUACGCUAAUACCGCAUACGACCUACGGGUGAAAGCAGGGGAUCGUCGGACCUUUCGCGAGUGAAUGAGCCGAUGUAGGAGUAGCUAGUUGGCGGGGUCAAGGGCCACCAAGGCGACGAUCCGUAGGUGGUCUGAGAGGAUGAUCACUCACACUGGCAGUGAGACACGGCAGCGACUCCUACGGGGGGCAGCAGUGGGGAAUCUUGGACAAUGGGCGCAAGCCUGAUACAGCCCUACCGCGUGGGUGAAGAACGCCUUCGGCUUGUAAAGCCCUUUUGUUGGGAAAGAAAAGCAGCACGUUAAUCACCCGCUGUUCUGACGGUACCCAAAGAAUAAGCACCGGCUAACUUCGUG
rnacentral:rRNA from 1 species